CGUUUCACGUUUGAUGGAAAUAAUGAUUAUUCUGAUAUAUCCUACUACUGUAUUUUUAUUGAGACAGUCUGCAAAUUUAAUCAUUCUGGAAAUUAUGUUAAUGGAUUUGAGCGAUAAAAUUCCCUAUUUAAAAUAUAUUCUUCGUUCGGAAUACAUUCCGUAUUUAAUCACAGUUGCGAUAAUGUUGAUGGGAUGGCUGCUUGUAUCUUGGAUAUUUCACUUGAUUUGGAAGUUGCUCACUCCUUUAACAAUAAGCGCCAUUGUCAUAGCGUUGAUAUAUCCAGCAACAAGUAAAUGGUGUUUCCAACAAUUCGGAGCAAAUUUAGAAGAAAUAAUAAAUGAUUUUGUUCAUAGAUUUCAGACACCUCAAUAAUAUGACGAUUUAGAUUCUUCAAUUAACAACAUGAAUUUGUUCAUGAAAAUUAAUUGAAGCGUAUCGAAAAAUUUCAACCUCAAAUCUGACAACUUUAAAAUUUGUAAACGUACGAUCAGAAAACAAAUCACGUGUGUAAAUAUGUCUCGUGUUGGAAAAUUCUAUAUCGACCGAAAGAUACAUAGAGGAACAUUAUAAAAAUGGGAAUGCAGAGCUCGAGACGACAAGACGCAGGUGAUGACAUAAUAUCGCAAAAGUCUUUAGAUGCAGUGAGAGAACUUAUACAUUUUUUGAAGAAAAAUGCUAGAGUGGAAGGGCUAUUUCGUCGGGCAGGACGUCGUGAACUUCGACGAUAUAUCCUUAAUUCUUUAAAGAAGGGCUAUAAACCGUACUUUGAAGAGUCAAACAAUGCGGCUUUGGAAUGCGCAGCGGCUUUACAGAUUUUUCUCAGCCAUCUAAAAAAACCGAUUAUGCCGCAGCAUGUACAAGAAUUGAUCCUCGCUGAUAAUCCAGGUGUGGAAGCACAAGUUAUCGCGCAGGAUGCUUUAGGGCUCAUUAGACAGGAUGUCGGUGGUCGUCAUGGCGAGCUUUUGAUUGAUAUUUUGGAUCUUUUGAGAUAUUUGACUUUAUCAGGACCGCCGUCUGAAUGUUCUGAAUUGCGUGGAUCUCCCUUGCCCAUCGCUCUUUUGCCAGUGUUUUUUAAUUUAUCGCCUAGUGAUUUGAUAAGAUGGAAGGAAGUAGCAGCUAGAUUCAGCGAAUUAAUUACGGAAGCCGCCACGCAACUCCAUCGGAAUGAGCAACGUGGCAUUCAUUCGGAAACUAUGUUAAAUUCCGCGACAAGUUAUGCCAAUGUAAGAAAUUUCUAUUGGAGAAGAGCAGUUAAAAGCCGAUUAAAAUUUUUUCGUUUUGUAUCAACUUUACUACAAAUUGCACUACAUGAUAGCUUCGACUUCGUUAGAAGAACCUGAGGAAUUAAUGAGAUUGCAAGAACUUUCUUUGUUAUAUCCUCUUGUUCGACUUACAGAUCAUUGUAAUGCUUGUCAUGUUGGCGAAAUGGCACGUGUUCUCAUUACACCGUUACAACAUCCGGUCGUCAGCAGAUUACAUACGAUAUUUGUUAAUCCUAAUUAAGCAGUAAUGGAACAA